UUCUGCCUUUGUGUCUAUCCUUGACCUCCACUUGGGGCUGCAUGGACAAAGUGGCCAUGGAGAGCAUACCCCUACUGGGCUUCACCAUCGCGCCAGGGAGGGAGGAGGGCAGCAGCGACCCAGGCCCCAUCUUCCAUCUUUACCACAAGAAAACGCUUUUCUACAGCUUCAAGGCUGAGGAUGCCAGUGCUGCCCAGAGGUGGAUGGAGGCCAUGGAGGACGCCAGCGUGUUAUAGCAGUCGCCCAGUGUGGAACUGAAGCAAGUUCAUGGCUAGACAGGUGACCCUGCCAGGAGCCACACCUCAUCCCAGCCCACCUGGAGCAUGGCCGGGGACUGGAGGAGGAUCGCCAGACCUGGCUUCUGUUGUCAUAUUUCCCAGCCCAUCGUGAAUUAUUUUCUUACCCAGAAGUGAGCUAAAAUGGAGUAACAUGAAGAUGUGGAAACCAGUAGCAACUUCAGGUAGAAACACAGGCUUUCAGUAGAAACAGCUUUUCCGGUUUGUCCUCAAAGUAGAUUCAUCACCUUUCAUGGUGGCCACUGGGCCUCAGGUGACGUAAGUGGCAGCAGUGACAGCUGCUGUCCUCAGAAGCACUUUAUCGUCCUGCUGAGCUGCAGCCUUCAGUUCCAAGUUUCCUAAGCCUUUACUGCAUCCCAGGGACACCAAGCCACCCAGGUCACUGUCCUCCAUCCAGCAAGGAUGAAGCAGGAGGAUCUUCCUCCAGCUGAGCAUGGUGGGGCUCCCUCUGUCUCUCCAUGGCAUCCUCCUCGGAAGAUGGCAUCAGCUCUAAUUUAUUGCGUGCCUUUCUGCGCCUGCCACUUUCAUGGGCAAUGCGAGUUUACGAACCUGUCCUUCUGCAGAUACACUAUUUCCCAAAAGAAGUGAAAAAAGGAGAGAAGAUGGGACUUCAGAAGGUGAACAGUAGUGGCUGGAAGAAGAGACGCUACGCCCUGGGGCUGGGUCCCUGCCAAUGUUGCUGUUGGGUUCUGAGGGCACCGAUGGCCAGGGCAGCAUCCCCGGCAGGAAUGUGGCCACAGGCAGCCUCUCGCUGCAGACAUUGUAAAGCACCACUAUCUGAGGACUACUUAUUUACAUUCAAUAUCUCCAGGGAAAUGUUUUUUUCUAGUUUGCAGUUCUUUUAAAACGUUUACAUUAAACAUGUCCUGAUUCAAAGCAGGGAGCAGACAGAUCUUCUGUUAAUGCCUGAGGGCUCAUUUCCGUUGGAAUCACCUCACGCCCAGUCAGUGGCCCCAUCUGCAGCUUCGUCUCCUGCAGUUUUAGCCAUGCAGGGUCAACUGUGG
rnacentral:lncRNA from 1 species